rnacentral:rRNA from 1 species
GCGAACGCUGGCGGCAGGCCUAACACAUGCAAGUCGCACGGAUCCUUCGGGAUUAGUGGCGGACGGGUGAGUAACACGUGGGGACGUGCCCUUUGGUUCGGAACAACUCAGGGAAACUUGAGCUAAUACCGGAUGUGCCCUUCGGGGGAAAGAUUUAUCGCCAUUGGAGCGGCCCGCGUCUGAUUAGCUAGUUGGUGAGGUAACGGCCCACCAAGGCGACGAUCAGUAGCUGGUCUGAGAGGAUGAUCAGCCACACUGGGACUGAGACACGGCCCAGACUCCUACGGGAGGCAGCAGUGGGGAAUCUUGCGCAAUGGGCGAAAGCCUGACGCAGCCAUGCCGCGUGAAUGAUGAAGGUCUUAGGAUUGUAAAAUUCUUUCAGCGGGGACGAUAAUGACGGUACCCGCAGAAGAAGCUCCGGCUAACUUCGUG